rnacentral:lncRNA from 1 species
GUUUAAAUCAGCUGAUCAGAGUAUAUCCUGUAUGUAGAGUGUUUAAUAGAAAGUGCAAACAGGAAAUAGAGCAUGAGCAGGAUAGACUCACUCACUCACAUGUACACUGACUCACCUCUGUGUUGUUAGUGACUCAGUCGUCCCAGUGACUGAAGCUGCUUGGGAACCUGCAGCGUCCUUCAGUCAGCUGACUGCUGUUUCCAACACACUGUACAAACAAUGAGUAGAGACUGUCUGCUGCAACAUGGAGGCAACAUCACCACAGUGUUAACAUCCUUUUAGGGUCACAAAUCAAGUGAAACGGCUGCUGUGUGAUUAGGGGAGAUUUCCAGCACAGCUUCGCCUACUUCUAAGGUACAUGAAGAUGACCUCAGCUGACACAUCCACCUGUUCACCUGUUCACAUUCCAAGAUCAUCCCCACCUGCUGACCCACCUGCGUUCAGUUUAAGUUUUAAACCUCCUGACUCCACCACCCAGGACCAAGCACCGAACAUGGGGCGACAGAGCCUUCUCUGUAGCUGCCCCCUCCCUCUGGAACUCUCUCCCCAAAAACAUCCGUGACUGCACCGACCUUCCAACAUUCAAAUCUUGGACAAAAACUCACCUUUUUAAAAUUGCUUUUAAUGUUUAGCUUAGUCUGAUGUGUUUUUAGUGUUUUACUAUUUGAUGUUGUUUUGCUGCUUUUAUGCUUUUAUGUAAAGUGUCUUUGAGUAUUUAGAAAAGCGCUUAUAAAUAAAAUGUAUUAUUAUUAUUAUUAUUAUUAUUAUUAUUAUUAUUAAAUAAAUAACUUUCUCAUCAGUUAAUUUCUGUUUUUACUGACUUUCACAAAAAAUAGCUGGAAUUUCUGGAAGAACAAAUAUCUGCAAAUUAUUCCCUGAAGUAAUUAACAAUACCUGAAAAUCAUUAAAGCCCCCCCUUCAUUCAAAAACUUGCUUUUGAAGCUAACACCUGGAUAAACGUGCAGGAUUUAUAACAUUGCAACUACUUUGGAGCCAAUAGACCUUUUUCACAGCAGCAAUUUUGACAUGAAAUAGUAGGCUACACUACAUGUAUCGGAACCUUAGUUAGGAUCCAGUACGUAACUUCAACAAGUGUGAUGUCGAAGCCAGAAGCCUUCAGGAAACUUUUCAGUGAAGCACCAGACAUCUUGUGUCCAACAGUUAAACUUUUGAAAUAAAAAAUAUUUACAUUAGAUCCUGGAUUUUUACAUCAGGGACAAGGAGGAGGUCGAAUUUUUAACACGGUAACGGAACUUUUUUUGCAAGAGUAUUUUUAAAAAAUGUCUGAAGAGAAUAUUUAAACCUGCAAAAACUGAUUCUGUCCUCUUGUUUUCAGCUGAAACAAGAAGUGAACACAACAAAACGGGAAAGAUGUGGUAUGACUUGGAUACACAAGAUAUUUCUAGUUCCCUCAACUCAGAGAGCACGUUAAUACCGAACCGAGUAUUUAACCAAACCAUGGUAUAAGUCAUAUUUCAUCAUGUGACUGUAUUUCUCACUGUUGACAGAAUUGUUACAA